rnacentral:lncRNA from 1 species
CAGCGCUUUCGGCGCCAUUUUCGAGUGAUGCCUGAUCUCAUCAAUCUAGCGGGAGAGACGGGAUAACCUGUCUUGAGCGUAUAGUGCCACUAGCGCUCCGCUGAAAAACCACUAAAAAAAAAAAAAAUCACCAAAAAUAACUUGGAGCAAAAGACAAUCCGCGAAGCUUCGCCAGGGUUGACGCAGUGGGUUUAAUAAUGACAAAAUGAAGACUACAAUAAAACAGCUCCCUACUAGCCCAGGAAUUCUUACCUUGUGCUCUCAUUUCUAAUCAAAGAAAACAAGUAUUCAGAUUGCCUGCAGCCCCUCAAGAGCCAAGAUAUGAUGCUUUGAAGAAGAAGAAGAAAAAAAAGCCUGUAAGAAAUAAUUGA